rnacentral:miRNA from 1 species
CAGUGAUCGUCUCUGCUGGC